CCGACCUUAGCUCAGUUGGUAGAGCGGAAGACUGUUUAUCUUUAGGUCGCUGGUUCGAUUCCGGCAGGUCGGA
rnacentral:tRNA from 1 species